CCGGGAUGGUUGGAAUAGUUGGAGCGGGAGACUAGGGCCUCCGCUGGCGGCGGGAGCGGGACGGGCGGAGGAAUGCGAGCUGAGGAACGGAAUCAGGUUCUAAGAGUGUUGCUCUCUGUUUCCCUCUCACUUGAAUUGCUCAUCCGAAAAUCCUCAAGAUCUGGGAGCCGGGUGGACCAGGAGAUUCUGAAAUUAUAGGCAAAAUCUUGUAUUUGCCUUUACCUAGAUUUUGAGCACAAAAGGACCCUUGCCCUUUACAAUAUUUUCUAAGAGGCCUCUCGGAUUUCCUCAUCACCAACCCCAACCAGGUUACUAACUCAGGGAACUGGUGUUCAAAGAGACUGUUUCUGUUAAACCCAUUUUGUUGCACAAGAGAAGAGCCCCUUCCUUUCAACUUUCCAGCUGGAACCAAGACCAGACCUUUCAAACAAGCCACUUUCAGUAAACGCAAAACAGGAACUAUGUGUCCCAGGCUGGUCUCAAAAUCUUGAGCUCAAGUGAUCUUCCUGACCCAGCCUCCCAAAUCGCUGGGAUUACAGGUGUGAGCCACCAUGCCUGGCCUGAAAAUAGAAUAUUUGGAAAUAAAAUGAUAAAUUCAAUAAAUGAAAUCCCCAAGAUUGGAGGAGACCCUAAACUGAAUGAAAACAGAAAUUAACUCAUGUUACAAAUGAACAACAAAACUGUACUGAAGGAGAAGUGGUAUGGGAAUAGCAAUUAUGACAUUAUAUUGUGCAUAUUAUAGAAUUAAGCAAAUGACAUAUAAAAGAAUGUGGAAGCUAGAGUUCUCACUGUAGGAAAAAAGUAGAUUUAAAUAUGAAUUAGGGAAUACAAAGGAACCUUAGAUGGGUGGAACUGGUGUUAGAGGCAUCAGUAUAAACCCAUAACUUCAUAUACAUUUGUAGAGAUAGAGCUAGAGGUUUGGCCUCUGUGUGUUGAAGGCUUAGAAGCAAUAACACAAUGUAACAAUGAGCAGGCUUGGUACCAAGAUCUUGGUUUCUAAAUAUUAUUCCUCACAACAAAGAAACAGCUUCUUAGAGAAAUGGAUGACUUCAGGGCUGGAACAAGGAAAGUAUAAGCUAAGCUUAAAAUAUCCUAUUGUGAUAGAAAUUAAGGAAGUCCCCUGCCACCCCCAACACCCCAGCAAAAUGAUGGGAAUAUGUCAAAAAACACAGGAGGAAGUUCCAAUUAUGGCUGAGUAAUUCCCAUCACACCAAGUCUUCUGUAAAUAAGAAUGAUAUACUCAGAGCAAAAUAUUAAAGAACAAACAAAAACUACCUGAAGGCAUUAGCAAACAACAGGAGGAAUAUACUGCACAGAGGUGGAUACCUGGAAGAGAAGAGGACUGAAUGGGUUUCCUGUGUUUUUACAGCUUUUAGUCUAAGGGAAGUCCAAAGUCUGCAAAGUGAGUGGUUAAAACAAAGCUGGGGGUAGUGGUGUGCGCCUGUAGUCUCACCUACUCAGAAGGCUGACGUGUGAGGAAACCGUGAGCACAGGAGUUCAAGGCUGUAGAGCACUAAGAUUGUGCCUGUGAAUACCCACUGUAUUCCAACCUAGGCAACACAGUAAGACCUCAUCUCU
rnacentral:lncRNA from 1 species